CCAUGGCACUGGCCGGUGCUAAAGGGUCUCUGCCCCGACAGCACCUGUCAGUAGCCAUUGGGCAGGACCCUUUAGCACCGGCCUUGUUACAAA
rnacentral:pre_miRNA from 1 species